CCGUAGCCGACUUCAGGUGUGGAGGGGCGGGGUCGGACAUCAUGCUCACCACGCCUUCUCCUAACGGAUCUCGCGACGUACAGGCAAACAGAUUGUGGAAGCAGAGGAGCUAAGCUAUGGAACACUUGGGCUCCCUAAAAGGGAUCACCAGCAGGGCAGAGUAUGAAGAAGUCUUUCAUAAUCCAUGCUUGGAUAUGAUGGAGCCAAGGUUGUUCUCCCAUUUCACAUAAACUAAGAGGAUGCGGGAAUCCAGACUCAUACAGAAAUGGAAAGAAUGGAGAUUGUCUUGCUCCUCUCCUCCAUCUCAAUCUUAUAUUCUUUCUCCUAUUUCCAUGAUACUAAUGUAAAACUGAUGUGUUUAGAAGAAGCAAGAAACUAAGGAUCCUUAUGCAAGAGAGCAAAUGUGACUUCAUAGAUAUUCAUGAGACUUGAUAGGACAAAACCUUUUAUAAGAGCAUGGUAAUGAAUGUUUAUAACUUUUUGAAAAGAAACAGGAG